GCGAACGGACGAGAAGCUUGCUUCUCUGAUGUUAGCGGCGGACGGGUGAGUAACACGUGGAUAACCUACCAUAUAAGACUGGGAUAACUUCGGGAAACCGGAGCUAAUACCGGAUAAUAUUUUGAACCGCAUGGUUCAAAAGUAAAAGACGGUCUUGCUGUCACUUAUAGAUGGAUCCGCGCUGCAUUAGCUAGUUGGUAAGGUAACGGCUUACCAAGGCAACGAUGCAUAGCCGACCUGAGAGGGUGAUCGGCCACACUGGAACUGAGACACGGUUCAGACUCCUACGGGAGGCAGCAGUAGGGAAUCUUCCGCAAUGGGCGAAAGCCUGACGGAGCAACGCCGCGUGAGUGAUGAAGGUCUUCGGAUCGUAAAACUCUGUUAUUAGGGAAGAACAUAUGUGUAAGUAACUGUGCACAUCUUGACGGUACCUAAUCAGAAAGCCACGGCUAACUACGUGCCAGCAGCCGCGGUAAUACGUAGGUGGCAAGCGUUAUCCGGAAUUAUUGGGCGUAAAGCGCGCGUAGGCGGUUUUAUAAGUCUGAUGUGAAAGCCCACGGCUCAACCGUGGAGGGUCAUUGGAAACUGGAAAACUUGAGUGCAGAAGAGGAAAGUGGAAUUCCAUGUGUAGCGGUGAAAUGCGCAGAGAUAUGGA
rnacentral:rRNA from 1 species